rnacentral:tRNA from 1 species
AUCUUUUUAGUAUAAAAAUUACAAGUGACUUCCAAUCAUUUAACCCUAGUUAAAAUCUAGGAAUAGAUA